CGGAAACAGGAGGUGAAACUAAGGCUCCACAGCUGGAAGAAGAGAGAAACUGCCAGAAGGGAAGUCAGGAAGUGGAUGUAAAUGCUUACAUGAAGGCUGUGGAGUGAAGGCUUUGGAGGAACAUUAGAAUCCUGAUUACUGAUGGAAGCUAUUAAAAUGAAUGUCUGGCUGUGUCUGACAAUGGAGGAGAGCCCUAAAACAUUAGAGUCAGCAUAAUCAGAGGAAAACAAAAAAGGACAAAAUGGAAGUAUGUACAGCUGAAUUUAAAGAUAAUGUGAUUCACAAGCAGACUCCUUGGGACUCCAGCACAUGCAAUUGUUCUAGGUCCAGAGCUAAAUGCUAGAAGGCAGUGACUAGCACCUCUCAAAAGAAAAGAAAAAGGACCCUCCCCACUUUGGACAUCAGUCACUCAGCAGCUGCUUUUCUUCCUAAGAAUGAGUAUGAAUACCUGCUAGAACAACUGUGGAUGUUACUAUCUUUACAACACAAUCUUCCAAGCACUAAGCAUAUGACAAAUUAUCCAUUCAGAGCUUACUGGUCAGGAUAUCAAGCAGAUGGAGUAAGACAACUAUCCCCAUUACUAGUCUAAGGGUGGAUGUGCAAGCAAGUACCUACUUGUGGAAUACUGUAGCAACCAUGUUAUGUACAAAAGUGCUCAUAUACCAUUUAUAUACACAAUAAAUCAAUACCCAAACAAAAGCCUUAAGCCUCAUGUCAGAGAGCUAAGUCAUAUGUUCAGUGGCAUAGUUGAUGAUUGAUUGAAGAAAAGGAAAAGAACAGGUGAUGCAAAGGGAAGAUGAACAUCUUUCUGUAUCUUAAAUGGAUUACAGUGUUAAUUUAUGCAUGGAAAAUAUACUUCAAGACACAGACAGUUUUGGUUUUUUGAGGGAAAUGUGAUUUUCUUUGAUAUAAAACUAAGUAUUACAUCUGACUUUAUUUCUGUAUGUAUUCUACUGCCAUCUCCAGGAGGCCAUGAGAAGGGCCUGGAUUUUUCUUUUCCUUAGUGUCAACAAUUGGAGUGUAAAUCACAAUCAAGAUUUGUGAUAUAAGUUACUUAUUCCCCUUGAAGGGCAGCUGUAGUCUGUGCUGCCCAAGUGAAAGCUGUUCUUGUUUCUUUUUGCAUAAAUCUCCUAAACCCUUGUGUACUUUCCUAAAAAAAUAAUUCAUGGCUAGAGUCUUCUCUUCAGUACCACUAAGUGACUUCUAUUCUUAACAUAUUACACCUUUAAGCAAGCUUUUUAAAAAACACCUAUAAUGCCAACAUAUUUGGGUAACUAGAUGUAAACCUGUUAACCAUUUUAGAAUGCAGUACUUGGGAUAUGUAGCUAACUGGGACAGUCAAGAGCUAGUAGCCAUCCAGUUGGCCUGGAUUUCAUAGUUCUGCACAGAACUGGUAAGCUCCAGCUUUGUCUUGGUUCACAUCAAUCUCUUCACUGUUGUUCCCUCAAACUGGCUGCUAUUUUAAGUUCUCUCCUAAUAGGCA